rnacentral:lncRNA from 1 species
GCUGCCAUCGGCUUUGGUCAUGAGGGCCUUGACCUGCGCGUUCGAGGCUUUGCCGAGGGAGACCCACUCGACGUCGAACUUGCCAGCGCCGACGCCCUUGGCGGAUGUCUGCGUGACCUUCAUGGCGAAAAGCUCGCCAGAGGAGAGGUCGUUGGCCUUGUCAGGGACAAACAUCGCGGCGACGCCGGUGUUGGAGUCGUCGGUGAUGUAGCACACCUGGGGAGUAGCAUCGACGCAGUACGGGAGCUCGAUGGAGUAGCGGCCCAUGGAGUAGUGCUUGGUGGCAGUGAUGACGGGCUCAUCGGCGGACUUGGAAUCGUCGAUGGAGACCUCGUUGACCCAGCGGUGCAUGUACGGAGUCCAGGAUUUCUUAAUCUUGGCGAGGUCAUCGUCGUGGAGACUGAGAUGGCGCAGCGACAGAACGUCUCCGCCCAGAUCCGAAGUCUUCGUGUAGGCACCGGUGACGGCGCUGUCCCACUUGAGGGAGCUCGGGACGCCCCACUCCUCGCCUCCAAGGUGGGUGUUCCACGGGGAAACGGAACCAGCGCAGGUGGCGAUGAGGCCGCUGUCGGCGGAGAAAUCGGCGUGGAAGAUCUUGUCAGGGGUGAGGAUGCCCGUGCCGGGGUUCUGCUUGAGACGAAGGACCUGGAUGUUCGCGGGGCGAUCCUCGAGGUGCACGGCGGCCCAGAGAGUGUUUGGCGUGGCCUUGUUGCGGGUCUUGAGGAUGGAUACGAAAUCCUCCAUGUUGGAGAUCUUGGUCUUGCUGGCCUUGCCGAUUGCGGCGUCGUAUGCGAGGGUGGACUUGCCGCUGUCACUCAUGCCGGUGAUUGUGGCCACGCUCCCGAGUUCCGAGGAGUGCGGCAUGGUCUUGCCGCUAUCGUCGAGGAGCUCGGCGAAGGUGACACCGCCGACCUUCUGACCGGAUCGGAUGAUCUCGGUGUACUGCAGCUUCUGGAAGAGGCCCUUGUACACGAUCCAAGGGGAGGCCAUGUUCGACUGUUGCGCAGCGGAGGUCUCCGGGUAGGGGGAUUCUCCGAAGAACGUGCCGGUUGCUCCGGUGAUGGCGACGGGCUGGGUGGGUUCGGCCUCGACACCCGGAACCUUGAUGGGUCCGAGGUAGCCGACGGUGCCGGCGCCGCCGUAGGUGGAGGCCUCGUCGGGGUGCUGAACUUGGUUCAUGAUGUAGGACCAGCCGUUGAUGUUCUCGUGGUACCAGACGCCGGUGGUCUCGGCCUCCUGGACGACGGUGUUGAUGCGGGUGAGGGCGUGGGUCUCCAUGUGGUAGGCCCAGACGGCGUUGUUCUUGUGCUUGGAGGUGUCCUCGCCGAUGAGGAGAAUGUCGUGGCCGUUCAUGAACGCGACGUUGUCGGGGUUGGCGAUGUUGUGGAUGUCGCAUUUGUCGUCGCCGUCCGUGUGUCCAAGCUUGUCCUCGGUGUUGAAGGACGUGGGGACGCCGCAGACGAGGGGAGAGAUGGACUUGAUGCGGUUGUUGGCGUCGAGGGGCGCGCGGUAAACGCAGCCGCAGGUGUUCUUCUCGAUGCCGAUGUGAUCACCUUCCGCAUGGUCGCCCUUGCUGUCAAGCUUGUGCUCCAUGGAAGCUUCGUUGGAAGAGAUGGCGAAGUACAUCUCCUUGCGGUUCUUUGACCAGGUGAUGCCCUCGAGCUUGCGCCACUGGGCGCUCGCGCCAACGUAGGCAGCGUAGAUGCGGGUCUCGAAUCGGGAGGCGGCGAUCUCCAUGCCGGUCUUGAGCUUGAGGCACAUCGCGCCGCCGUCGACGACGGUGGCCUUGAAGCCGGAAGCGCAAGUGAAGUCGUAAUCGCCGUUGGGGCCGGCGGUCUUGGUGCCGAUUUCAAACAUGUCGGUGAACUUGAUGUAGCUGCCGGCCGUCCCCAUGAGGGUCUUGACUUGCGAGUCCGAGGCUUUGCCGAGGGAGACCCACUCGACGUCGAACUUGCCGGCGCCGACGCCCUUGGUGGAUGUCUGCGUGACCUUCAUGGCGAAAAGCUCGCCGGAGGAGAGGUCGUUGGCCUUGUCAGGGACAAACAUCGCGGCGACGCCGGUGUUGGAGUCGUCGGUGAUGUAGCACACCUGGGGAAAGUCGCCGACGCAGUACGGGAGCUCGAUGGAGUAGCGGCCCAUGGAGUAGUGCUUGGUGGCAGUGAUGGUCGGGCUUGACACGCUGGAGGAAUCGUCGAUGGAGACCUCGUUGACCCAGCGGUGCAUGUACGGAGUCCAAGAGUUUUUAAUCGUGGCGAGGUCAUCGUCGUGGAGGCCGAGAUGGCGCAGCGACAGAACGUCUCCGCCCAGAUCCGAAGUCGACGUGUAGGCACCGGUGACGGCGCUGUCCCACUUGAGGGAGCUCGGGACGCCCCACUCCUCGCCUCCAAGGUGGGUGUUCCACGGGGAAACGGAACCAGCGCAGGUGGCGAUGAGGCCGCCGUCGGCGGAGAAGUCAGCCUUGUGAAUUUUCUUGACGGUGAGGAUACCGGUGGCUGCAGCCUGCUCGAGCUCGAGGACCUGGAUGUUCGCGGGGCGAUCCUCGAGAUGCACAACGGCCCAGACAGUAUUCGGACUGGCGGUGUUGCGGGUCUUGAGGAGAGACACGAAAUCCUCCAUGUUGGAAACCUUGGUGUUGCUGUGUGCAGCUUCUUUGCCGAUCGCGGCGUCGUAUGCGAGGGUGGCGGACUUGC